rnacentral:rRNA from 1 species
GGGCCCGCACAAGCGGUGGAGUAUGUGGUUUAAUUCGAUGCAACGCGAAGAACCUUACCAGGGUUUGACAUCCUGCGAAUUUCUGGGAAACCGGAAAGUGCCUUCGGGAGCGCAGUGACAGGUGGUGCAUGGCUGUCGUCAGCUCGUGUCGUGAGAUGUUGGGUUAAGUCCCGCAACGAGCGCAACCCACGUCUUUAGUUGCCAGCAUUUAGUUGGGCACUCUAGAGAGACCGCCGGUGAUAAACCGGAGGAAGGUGUGGAUGACGUCAAGUCAUCAUGCCCCUUACAUCCUGGGCUACACACGUACUACAAUGGCGAUGACAGUGGGCAGCGACCCCGCAAGGGUGAGCUAAUCUCCAAAAGUCGUCUCAGUUCGGAUUGUCCUCUGCAACUCGAGGGCAUGAAGGCGGAAUCGCUAGUAAUCGC